AAGUCCCCUCUCAAGUCAUCCACACCAUAUUCCACCUCUACGCUAUUAUAAAAGAACACUCAUUGUUAUAUCCUAUGUUGUUGAAUUUAAAAUUGUCCCAUAUCAGAUGGCAAAAUGCCCGAUGUAAAUUAUAUUUUCAAUCAAGAGGAAACAUAGCGUAUGCAAGUCUGUGUCUUACAUCCAUUCUUUACGACUGACAGCUCAUCUAAUCCGGCCAUAUAAUCAAGUCUACAAACCAUUCAGAGUUAGCUUAAAUAUGCUACUGCCACUAUGACACCCAUAUAUUUAAUACAUUCGUACCUGUUCAUCGAUUCAUCUCCCCAACAUCUAACGCAACCAAAAACCUACUCACACAAUUAUACGCCCCAACUGUAGCCGUGAUCUCAACCAUCUCCUUCUCACUGAAAUGCCUCCUCAACUCCUCAAACACCUCGUCAGACACCUUAACGAUCCUUGUCAUUUCCUCCGUGUACUUGUAAACAGCAAUUUGUUUCGGGGACAUCAGCGCCGCCAAUUCGGUGUCAGUCGCCGGGUUUUCCGCUCCGCGCUCCACAAGUUUUAGUGCAUCCUCAGAGAAGCCGGCCUGUGUUAAUAUGGGAGCAUGACCCUUCCACUCAAACCAAGCUUCGUUCAUAGCGGCAACGCGACAUAUUGCGAUCUCGCGAAUGUCUGCGGGAAGAGAGGUUUUGGUGCGGAUAGCACCCAGAAAUGAAUUCCAGCCAUCGGCAAUGGGGAAUGAAUGAAGAAGCGCUAGGUCAAGGGGGAGGAGGCCCCGUUGUCCCCGCCUGGCUUGUACGCGCUGGAGGAUGCUUUCAUCCUCUUCGUUCGAUGUUGCGGGGGGGUUAGAAACAUAUGAGAGGCGCAUGUUGACGAUUACGGGGUGUAGGGGUAUUGAAUGUGCGGGGACCGAUGGGAUCAAUGUAAUAUUUUUAAAUCGUGAUCUUAGAAAAGCGAAGGAAUAUCAAUGAACAUCAGAGUACUAGUAUUAUAAAACCCUGGAAGUACACGAUAGUUCGGUACGCCAUUCGGCACGCAACCUUUGAUAACUGGUCAUGGAAUAAAAUCCUAGAUAAUAAGGCCUUUGCUAAUUACCCCGCCGGGAUCUUCCGGUUCGUCUUCAGUC
rnacentral:sRNA from 2 species